CCAAGGAGUCUAACAUGUGCGCGAGUCGUCGAGUCACAAUCGAAACUCGUGAGGCGCAAUGAAAGUAAAACAGCCCUGAUGAAGGUGUUCUGUAAGGGAAGAUCUCGUCUUUUAUUUUUUUACAAACCGAAGCGAGCGCAUUCCCAGGGCGUUCGAAGCCGCGACUUAGUCGGCCGAACGAACCUAGAGCGUACACGUUGGGACCCGAAAGAUGGUGACCUAUGCCUGGCCAGGACGAAGCCAGGGGAAACCCUGGUGGAGGUCCGCAGCGAUUCUGACGUGCAAAUCGAUCGUCGGAGUUGGGUAUAGGGGCGAAAGACUAAUCGAACCAUCUAGUAGCUGGUUCCCCCCGAAGUUUCCCUCAGGAUAGCUGGUGCUCGCAUAGAAUACAAACGGAGUUUCAUCCGGUAAAGCGAAUGAUUAGAGGCCUUGGGGUCGAAACGACCUCAACCUAUUCUCAAACUUUCAAUGGGUGAGAAGCCCGGCCUUUUUCUUGAGUGAGGCCGGGCAUUUGAAUCUGAGCGCCCAGUGGGCCAUUUUUGGUAAGCAGAACUGGCGCUGUGGGAUGAACCAAACGCCCGGUUAAGGCGCCUAAACAACGCACAUUUCGGAUCCCACGAAAAGGAGUUGGUUGCUAAAGACAGCAGGACGGUGGCCAUGGAGGUCGGAAUCCGCUCAGGAGUGUGUAACAACUCACCUGCCGAAGCAACUAGCCCUUAAAAUGGGAGGCGCUAUAGCGUUGUGCCUAUACCGGGCCGUCGGUCGGCAGUGUGAUACGCCCUCCUCUUGAAGAAAGAGACGAGGCGCUGAGGCCCCGACGAGUAGGGGGGUCGCGACGGUGAGCGUUGAAGGGUUAUGGGCGCGAGCCUGCCUGGAGCCGCCGUCGGUGCAGAUCUUGGUGGUAGUAGCAAAUACUCAGAGG
rnacentral:rRNA from 1 species